rfam:Rattus norvegicus chromosome 5, whole genome shotgun sequence.
GGGGAUUUAGCUCAGUGGUAGAGUGCUUGCCUAGCAAGCACAAGGCCCUGGGUUCAGUCCCCAGCUCCG